rnacentral:rRNA from 2 species
GGUCGUAAAGUUCUGUUGUUAGGGAAGAACAAGUACCAGAGUAACUGCUGGUACCUUGACGGUACCUAACCAGAAAGCCACGGCUAACUACGUGCCAGCAGCCGCGGUAAUACGUAGGUGGCAAGCGUUGUCCGGAAUUAUUGGGCGUAAAGCGCGCGCAGGUGGUUCCUUAAGUCUGAUGUGAAAGCCCACGGCUCAACCGUGGAGGGUCAUUGGAAACUGGGGAACUUGAGUGCAGAAGAGGAAAGUGGAAUUCCAAGUGUAGCGGUGAAAUGCGUAGAGAUUUGGAGGAACACCAGUGGCGAAGGCGACUUUCUGGUCUGUAACUGACACUGAGGCGCGAAAGCGUGGGGAGCAAACAGGAUUAGAUACCCUGGUAGUCCACGCCGUAAACGAUGAGUGCUAAGUGUUAGAGGGUUUCCGCCCUUUAGUGCUGCAGCUAA